ACCUCGAUAGUCUUAGGACGCUUGUACGAAAUACAAGAGAUCUGGGUUCAAUUCCUGGUUGAGGUA
rnacentral:tRNA from 1 species